AACAACAUGUGUUAAUUUAAGCAUUUGUCUGUCGAUUCACAUUCAAAUCUGUUGUUAGAUGGAUGGAUAGUGUUUUGUACAGGUAAAAUGUAAUUUCCAGGAAAAAGACACCAAAGGCUAUCAUUAUAAAAAGACCCCAAAGUCUCAUCAGACAAUGGUAAAUAAAAAUAGAGUACAAGUUGUGGACUUUUGUGCUAGUUGAAUUAUCAAAUUGCAUGCCUGGAAUAUACCUAAAGCUAGCUGACUAGCUCUCCCAACUUCAUUUGCAUCUGAGCUUUUUGCUGCAAAUGGCGCUGUGCUUCCCUUGUGCAUCCAUGUGAAAUACCUGUUGAUUCAGAUUUCAGAACUAGCUAGGUUGAUUCUUUACUAAUUUCAAAAAGCAAUAAUAAACUGGUUCAUGUUUAAAAAAGUUAUGUAGCACCUAACCAAUAUUCUUAAUGAUUUUAUUCAUGCUUAUGACACUUGAAUACUUCAUACAUUUUUGUCUUAGUAUGAUAAAUUGCAUGCCUAAAGCACUUCAAUUUAAAACUUGGAUCUAAGUCAGCACUACUUAUCGCUUUAUCAAUAAUAAUAUAACCUAGUAUGGGUUUAGUUAACCCUAGUGGGCUCAAUCAGUUUUUCAACCAUUUUAUAGACACGUGGCAUCAUAUGAUUGGGUGUACACACCCACAUACAAGUUGGCUACACAUAAAUUUUUUUGCUAUGAUUCUAAAGACCAGCCUCUUAUACAAUUGGUAAGUUAUUAAAAUACAUUAUAUUUGUUAACUGAGAAACCCUAAUUGUCUUUAUAAUUAGCACACAAUUACCACAUAUUUACUGGUUUAAUUCCAUUUACAACAUUUACCAAAACAACAAAAAUGAUUUCAAUACUUUUGAUCCAUGCCAAAAAAAUAGUUAAUCUACUGUCCUUACUUGUUAUGGGAACAAUGUAGUUCUGUACAUCUGUGUACACUGUACACACACAUGUAUGUUUUCUAUUUUUUUUUUUUUUUUUCUGAUUUGUGUAGUUCUCCAAUUCUUGUGUUUACACACACACAAAAAGAAUAAAAAAAAUGAUUGAGUUUAUUAGGAAAUAACAGGGAUAUGAUUUAGUCUGAUUUGCCUUGAACCACUUGAGUUCAUGACUUGAAAAAAAUACAAGCAUGUGAAAAUUAUGAGUGCAUAAAAUUUGACAAAACUCAACUCUGAAUCCCUAUUCAAUAAUUGUAUAGCAUUAUCUUCCAGACAGCUAGUAAUUACUUUUUAAAUAGGACUAAACGUGAUCAUUUACUUUCCCCCAACUAAUAUACUGUAUAUUAUUAAAUAACAGUCCAUCACCCUAGAGUCUAUAUAAGCUUUAGUCAUCUUCACCAAUUCUUCACAACAACAAAGCUAUUCUUACUCCAGUAACUGAGUGUCUGAGACAAUGUCUCUCUCCCUCUUAGCCACCUCCACUGUCCCUUCAUCAUCUUUGCUAAAUGUUAACCCUCUAAGAAGUAACACAAAGAACCGAUCCACGGUUCGUGUAGGUAAGAAAGUUGCUUAUACAUCUUGUGAGCAAAAACAAAGUAAUGAAGGAGAUAGCCAUACCAUUGAUAGGCGAAAUGUACUACUUGGGUUGGGAGGACUCUAUGGUGCCUCGGCUACUAUUGGUAGUCAAGGCAAGAUCGCCAUGGGUGCCCCUGUAGCCCCACCAGAUCUCUCAAAGUGCCAACUAGCAACUGACGCUGCCAAUGGGGAACAGGUAACAUAACUACAGUAGUGCAUUUUUGCUUCAACAAGACUUCUUCACCUUCAAAAUGUACUUUUUGAAUCUAUUCAUUAUAUCUAAUUAUUUGUUUUCUUUUCGGACGAAAAAGGUGUACUGUUGCCCACCAUACAGUUCAGCAGACAUAAAGCCCUUCGUUCCUCCUAACGAUGGUAUUUUGAGAAAAAGGAAACCAGCACACAAGCUGAACCGCAAGGAGAUCGAGGACUUCAAAAGAGGCAUUCAAUUGAUGAAGGAGCUUCCAGAAACUGAUCCAUGGAGUUACUAUCAACAAGCUACUAUUCACUGCACCUACUGCAAUGGGGCUUUCGACCAAGUGGGAUUCGAGGACGUCCUUCUACAAAUUCACGGCAGCUGGCUGUUCACCCCAUGGCACAGAUACUACAUAUACUUCUGGGAGAAAAUCCUUGGGAAACUUCUCAAAGAUCCCACAUUUGCUAUCCCUUACUGGAGCUGGGACACACCUGAGGGUAUGUACAUGCCAGGAAUGUACCUAGAUCGAAACUCACCUCUGUAUGACGAUAACCGUAAUCAUAACCAUUUCACUGCUUUGAUGGAUUAUGAUUUCACAUGGGGAGCUCCAAACCCAACUCCAGAACAAGAAGAAGAGGUUAAAAUUAGAAACUUGAAAAAGAUCCAUAACAUGUUUACAGAAACCAUUGGUGCUCCAUCUCUAUUCCUUGGAGGUCCUUUAAGUGCUGGUCAAGUACCACAAGAUAUUGCUGGAGCUCUUGAGAAUCAGCAUGGUCUCCCCCAUCAAUGGACUGGCCCAGAAGCUAUACCUCGUCACGAUAUGGGUAACUUUUAUACUGCUGCACGAGAUACUAUGUUUUUUGGCCACCAUGCCAACGUUGAUCGCUUGUGGGAUAUCUAUAGUGACUUGCGUGGUAACAAGGUUGAGUUCGAUAAUCCUGAUUGGCUCGAUGCUUCCUUCAUCUUUUACGAUGAAAACAGACAAGUGGUCAACUGCAAGGUAAGAAAUUUAUUUCUUGUCAUAUAUUUACGCAUAUUUGUUUUAAUUACCUGCAACACUUACUCAGGAAUCCAUUCUUUUUCCAUUUGUUUAUAACAUAGAUUAUUUAAACCAGAUCUGUAGUGCCUGAUAUAAUUAAAAUGAUGUUGGACUUUCUUCCCCACGUCCCCAUCAUGUGACAUUUAGUUUAUGUUACUUUGAAAAUGUCCAGAACUCCGGAUCUCUUAUGCACGGGGAGGCAUAAAAAAAAUAAAAUUAUGCACAUAAGAAUGUGGUUACAAAGGGGGUCUUAAACCCUGAAUUUAAGCAUCAGUGUCCCAUCAAAUCCUUAGAAUGCAAUUUGCAUUCUUGCAUUCAACCUAAAAUAAAUCUACCUGGGGUCUGCCUAUCCCGAGCAUGCGUCUUGAAAAGAUUAUAAAUAAAUUAUACUUUCUAAUAUAGGACCAUUUAAAAAAAAAAUUAAACAAUAUAAUUAACCCUAGGAUGUCAGACUAGUCUUACCUAAAGAAAGGUUGACCCACAAUUGGGUGUAGUUUAUAGCAAAAUCUAUCAGUUGACAACUUCAGUCACAUUGAUACAGUGUACAAAUCCAUACAUGCUUAGAAUAAGAUUGCUCGGAAAUUAACCUUUUUAAUUUUAUUUAUUUGGUAGGGUGUUUCUGUUUAGUUUCAUAAGUUGACAAUUUCUAUAUACUAUUUUAAUUUGAAUUUAUGGCCUCAAGCAUUAUUGAUUUAUUUCUAUAUAUGUAUAUGAUAGGUAUCCAGUGCAUACUUUGAUGGAAGAAAUUCAAAGCAUUAGUUUAAUUUUUUGUCUCACUAGAUGGUUUCUAAUUGUUAAUCACCUCAAUUUGGUCUAUUAAUUGUUACUACUUUAUAAUUAAUUUUUUAUGUGCAAAUGUACAGGUUAGGGACUGCUUAAUCACUGAAAACCUUGGAUACACCUACACAACUGAGCGACAUGCAUGGAAGGAUAUUAAAAGAACCUACAAGAAAUUGCAGAGAGGUAAAAAGAGAUCUGCUGGAGAAGGCUUAUCUUUGAUUCCAGUCUCUGAGUUUGGAUCUGCUCCUCGUGCCCUCAACUCUACCAUCCGAGUCCUAGUCCCACGACCUAAGGUCUCUCGUUCCACAGACGAGAAAGAAGAAUUUUCAGAAGUAGUUGUUGUUGAAGGCAUCAAGUUUGGCCACGGAGAAAGUACCAAAUUUGAUGUAUACAUUGCUAAGCCAAUUGAAGGGUUAGUUGGUCCUGAUCUAGGUGAGUUAGCUGGGAGCUUUGUCAGGGUUACCCACACACACCAUAAGAAGGAUAAGGUAGAAACUACUUCAAAGAUUGAGCUCGGUGUUACCAACUUGUUGGAUGAUAUUGAGGCUGAAGCAUCAGACAGCUUGGUUGUGAGCUUGGUUCCUCAACAUGGAGAUGUGACUAUUGGUGGAGUGCGUAUUGAUCUCUUUGCGUCAGAUAUCUAGAGCCGAUUGAGAUUGUUGUAAUACUAGUCAGUUCUGAGUCAGUGUUUGCAUCUUCUAUGCUCUUUUCCUGGAAAUAAACAAGCUCAAUGUUAGUGCCAUUUUUCAGAAAUGUAGCACGUUUGAGAUGGUGUUAAUGAAAAGUCAGCUUUAUGUGAACUGGCUGCUCUAAUGAAGCUUUAAAUGAAAGAAAUUAUGCUUAUGUUCGAUGUACUAGUAUUUCUCUUCGAUUUUCAGAAUACACACUCCUUUCGUGGAAGUCGAUUUUAGGUUGCCUAAUUGAAGAAAGGGAUAGUAUCAACUGUUGUCUUGACUCUUGACCAUUGAUUUAUUAAACGGUCAUUUUUUUUCUACAUUGCAUCCAUUGGGUCUAAAAUACAUCAUGUCACAAUGGGGGUCUAUAAUGAAAAACAAAACCUACUACAACUCUACAAGAAAGAAGACAAUUUGCCAGACAACAGCUGCAAUGAAAGACCUUUUGCCAUAUGCAAGUCUUUGGCUAAAGGCCCAGCAAAUUAAAGGCACAGAUUAGAAAAAUGGCAAAUUGCAUACAUAUCUCAGCAGUAUUGUGAGAUGUGGCAAAUGGAAGCAAGCAUUUGCCACAGCUUUUGUCUGAAGCAAUAUAUGUAUGCACAACUAAAAGAGUGUAUGAGCCAGAAGCAAAACUUAAAAUAAAAAUAUAUAUAUAAGAAAUCUCAUACAUGAGAGUCAAUUUAAAAUUUUACAGCAAAUUUCUCAUCCAAUAACACAAAAUUACAACAUGUCUCCAUAAAAGGUAACGGAAAGCAGGAAGGGGAGGUCCAAUUCACUAAGUAGACUCACUCUAUGGAGGGGCAACAAAGACUGGAACCAUUUGUUGCAGCGGAGCGAAACCAUUGAUUUAUAUCUAAAUUAAGCUUUAGAAAAUAGAACUGGAGAUGCACACCCAAAAGGGUUGUGCAGAUCUCCUUAACUAAAUCACCUAAGAGGACUAGUAGUGGCAGAGACUGGUACGAACCAGAAUUACUUAGAUUGAAAUGGUUCGUCCAUAUGGCUCUAUUUAUAGCCUACAAUGGAACACUCUAGACACUCAAUUUAUUACACAACUAACUAUUUAGCUUCUGCUCUAGACCUUUUUACACUCAUUCGUUUCUAAGACAUAUCUAGAACUCUUGAUGCUUCACACACUAAUGAAAUUACAAAUUAUCAUUUUCAACAAUCCCCUGUAAUUUGGAAUUUCAUUAAUCUCACCCAAAGCUUAAUUUAGAUAUAUCCCGAAGUUGCAUUUGAGCACUGCCCCAUUUCGUUUCUUCAUCUUUGGCACGACAAGAAAACAAAGAUGAGAAAGCGAAAUGGGUGGCGCUCAAAUUCAACUUGGGGUGACGAAUUAUAUCGAAAUGAGAAAUCAAAAUUUGGGGUGAUUUAAUAAAAUUUCAAAUUACAAGGAUUGUUGAAAAGUCAAAUUUGUAAUUUUAUUAGUGUGAACCAUCUAGAGAAUUCUAGAUGUACGAAGAGUGUUCUAGAGUGGUAGUCAAAGAAUUAGUUGUGUAAUAAUUUGAAUGUCCAGAGUCUUCCAUGGAAGUGGUCAUGUAACCAGGUCCACAACUAUUUCAAUAUAAGUAAUUCUAGUUUUGAUAACUCUCUUCCACUAGAAGCUCUCUUAGGUUGUUCAGUAAGGGAGCUCUGGAUAAAUCUUUCGUGCGUGCAUCUAUAAUUCUAUUUUCCAAUGCUUAUAUUAGAUAAAAUUAUCGCUUCUACUUGCGCCCCAUCAUUAUUCCGGCCAAAAAAAGGAACCUACUUUUCAUCCUAGGAGUUUGCAGGUAUGAGAGAGAAAUCAAAUUUCCCAUCCAAUACACAAAAUUAUAACAUAUGUAUCCAUAAAAUGUCACAACAGGUCUAUGAAUGCAUCUUCUACUCCACUUUCCACAACUCAUUGACAUCUUUAAUGACCAGGGAUUCCAUGCGAUUGCGCAAGGAAGAUACUAUAAUUCAAUUUAUGGAAGAAUAUUGGAAACCUAUUCAUACUUAUAUGAAAAACAAAAUACUACACUUUGAAACAUUAGAAAGCUUAGUUUGUAAUGAUAAAUCUGCAAGAGAUACUCCUGGAAGGGAAAAAACUCAAGAAAUGAUACGAAAAAACAGUCAUCAAAGAAAAGAAAUGAGCGAAAGAAUGUAGUUGAACAAGACAGAUAUUUGAAUAUUUCAGAAGUAACUAAUGAAUCCUAGAUGACGCCACAAAAAUUGGCUGAUUGAAAGAGCCAACCAGUGCCAUAAUAUCAAGUUACCAACUAGUCCAGUACAUAUGACCAAUGUUUUUUGGCUACAGUAUCGGAUAAACAGGAGGAUCUGUCAGAUAAACAGAAGGAGGCAUCGGAAGAUGAUGUAAAUAGCGAUGCUAGAAGACAAAUUAUUUCCUGUAUUACAAAACAGGUCCUAUAAAAGCAAGGGAAUGAGGAGUGUGAACACAUUUAAUUUUGUAUAACGACAGAAAAGACCAAUAUAAAAUGAAAGGCCAAAUGGAUGUUUCAAGAUCACAAUUCCUAUUUCUGAUCAUAGUGCCAAAAUAAUUAUUACAAGUGAAAUAUCGUGUUAUAUAGCAGUUUCUCAGCUGAUAUAUAUAUUACAGAUGAAUUGAAUAAAAAAAUCCAUAAUAACUUGAACAAGAAAUGGUGACACUUACCGUUACAGACUGAGAUAAUGCAGACUUUCUUUGAAAUUUUGUUGAACACAUUUCCAAAUAAGAUUUUAUCACGAGCCCUUAUUACUCUUCAAAAAAUCGCCUCGCUUAUUACUCGGCCUCUAUUUAUAUGCAUUUAUCUUAACUAAUCUUAAAAUUUGUUUUAAAUUCAACAAAAUCGACUGACCUAUAAAUAUCACUCUUUUGGUCUAUGCUGAGUCCCAGAAUCGACAACUCUGGUGACAUACUAUGUGACUGCCUUACGCGUCGAUCAAUCCAAGUCACUAAUAUUAUUUUUUGUUUUUACUUUUCCCGAACUCUCCUAUUUUUCGUACCUUCACUUUCUCACUUCACUCAUAUUCUGCAAAGUUUUUGCCUUCUCUUCCCACAUAUAUUCUCCUAACUCCUUUUGUUUUCUCAUUUCCAUCUCUAGAGUCUUCGUACCCAAAACACUCCAUUGUCUUUUUUAGCGAAGUAAACAAACAGAUACCACUCCAAUGAACAAAUGAAGAUCGAGUAUAAACAUAAAAAUACCAAAUACAAUAUAGUCUAUUUUUAAUAUUUGCAGUUUAUGAUUUUCUGUUUAAUGUUCAAUCAAUAUAUUAUGGAGGAAGUUUUAAUUGGGAAAGAGAGGGGGAGAAUAAAAUAAAGUUGAAAUACAAGAUGAAAAUGUUAAUAUCAUCUUGUCUCAUUGUUUCUCACUCAACCCUGGUAAAUCAAUGGUAGCCUUCCUCUACUCUGACAGUCAACACUGUAAAUUUCAUCUUUUCUUUCGACAAUUUUUCAUGAUUUUUUAAUUCAGCUGCUGCCUUUUCAACACGCUGGUUGAUAUGAUCCAAUUUAUUAUUUUAAUAUUAUUAAACUGUAUACCAACAAUAAGUACCAUUUAUAGCUCGCUGAAGGUCUGGUAAGGGAAACUGAGGACUGAGGUAGCAACUCAUGACAAUGUUAGAUCAGCAACCCACCAUGGAAGGAGAUCUGUGUAUCGAAUUUUCCUUAAAUUACCAUUUAACAACAAAAAGGGAAAAAUCGUUCCAUUAGUAGAGAUAUUGGAAGAAUCUGUUUUUGGAAGAUCAAUAUGUUGGAAAAAAAAUCAAGUUUUUGAAGUAUGCUUCUGAUUAUUAAGGGCCUAUCUGAAACACUUUUGCGGAUGGGAACAAGGAACCUUUUUCAAUUCCUCCUUACUGCAACCCCACAGGCCACAACUGUCUAAUGCAUAGAAAUUCAGUACCAUGGUAGAAUAAGCUAAAAUGAGAUGUACAAAUUUUUUUUAAUCCCAUACUGAAAUCAAACUUGUUAAAACAAUAAAAUGAACAACAUUAAGAAACACAAAACUCAAUGGAAAUUUCAAAGGAAAAAAAAAAUAUAAUACAAGGCACUAAGGCAGCCACAAGUUCUUACACAAAGUAUCAUUCACAAUCUGAAAAGCAAACCAAAUGAUAAGUAAGCAUAGAGCAUAUAUUAAUCUAUAAAGGUAUACACAACUGAACAUGUAAGAGAAAAUGUUUGUGUGUUUACUUAUACUUGAAUACUUCUAGGAUCACCUCACCACAUGUUAGACAAUGUAACGGCAACGAUAAACAGACAGGGAAAAUAAGUAGUGAAAUAAUAAGGAAUAGAUUAAAGACGAUAAAAAUCAGGUACCUAGUAAAAUUGAUGUACCAAGAUGGAAUCACAUAAUCGAACCAUGGCUACAAAAAGAGCAUUGAACAAUUCGAACCUGCAUUAAAAAUUUAAUAAAUUAAUAAUAGAUAGGAAAACCUCUGUCAAUAAUAUUGAUAAUAUAAGCUGUAAUGACUCAAUGCACUUUGCAAUUUCGUUUCAUGACAUAUAUAUUGAAAACAUUAUUUUUACUCGUUAAACCACCAAAUGACUUAGAAUAGAGACCUUUAACUGCAUAAAAUCCAACUUCAAAGCAAAAAAUUUAAUUUCAAUCUUUUAUUAUAUUUGAUGAAACUAGCUCAAGAUUAAUCAAUUUGGAUAAUAUUAAAAAUUUAAACUGUUGGAAAACCUUGAUUUUAACAAAAAAAAAAGCUAGAUUUUCUAACAAAACAUCUAAUAAAUUAAUAAUUUUAUACUAUUUCACUAUUAAUUAAACUCAACUAUAUUGCAAACAAAACAUUCACAUUCAAACCAGAAAAUAAUACUUACAAGAUGUACUCCACAGUCCACAACAAGAACAAAUUUUCAGCAGCAAUGAUACGGAACUUAGAUAAAAAUUAUUACUAUAUUCCAAUUAAUGCUGGUUUGUUUCGAAAUUCGACUUGGAACACUGAAGAGGGAGUUGGUAUGUUUAAAAUUUUAGUGAGGAAGAAGAAAGAAAAGGCCAAGAGGGAAGAAGAAAAAAAAAAAAAAAAAAAAUUGUUAAUGGAGAAAUUAUUUGCUCACCGGGGGUUUUGCUCGCCACGCUCCCCAAGACCCCAACCCCCCCUCUUAAAAUGCUUCCAUGUGGUGCUGAAAUCUUUUUUUAACUUCUAUUAUUCUUUCUAACUAAUUUGCCUUUGUCUAGUUAAUUAUAAUUAAAGAAUUUUAAAGAUACCAGAUUUCUCUCUCUUUUUUCUCCAAUGAAAAAAAUAAUUCUGAACUCUCCCCUCUCUCUCUCUCUCUCAAUUCUUGGAUCACAGACUAUCAAAAAUGAGUACAACUAAUACAAAUAAAGAUUUAUGAAGAAGUAAUUAAAAUUACUAACUUCUAUUAAUUUAGUUUCACGUAGCAAUGGUAAUUUGAUUUAUAUUUUAC
rnacentral:lncRNA from 1 species